UUUCCGUAGGUGAACCUGCGGAAGGAUCAUUCAUAAUAAGUGUUUUAUGGCACUUUUUUAAAUCCAUAUCCACCUUGUGUGCAAUGUCAGGGUUGAUUUUUCUCUCAAGAGGAUCAGCCCCAAACAUCAACUAUAUCUCAACUCUUUGUCUGAAGAAUAUUAUGAAUAAAACAAUUCAAAAUACAACUUUCAACAACGGAUCUCUUGGCUCUC
rnacentral:misc_RNA from 1 species